rnacentral:rRNA from 1 species
UACGUAGGGUGCGAGCGUUGUCCGGAUUUAUUGGGCGUAAAGAGCUCGUAGGCGGCUCACUAAGUCGGAUGUGAAAACUCCAGGCUCAACCUGGGGACGCCAUUCGAUACUGGUGUGGCUUGAGUUCGGUAGGGGAGCACGGAAUUCCUGGUGUAGCGGUGAAAUGCGCAGAUAUCAGGAGGAACACCGGUGGCGAAGGCGGCGCUCUGGGCCGAAACUGACGCUGAGGAGCGAAAGCGUGGGUAGCAAACAGG